ACGCUGGCGGCGUGCCUAAUACAUGCAAGUAGAACGCUGAAGGAGGAGCUUGCUUCUCCGGAUGAGUUGCGAACGGGUGAGUAACGCGUAGGUAACCUGCCUGGUAGCGGGGGAUAACUAUUGGAAACGAUAGCUAAUACCGCAUAGGAGUAGAUGUCGCAUGACAUUUGCUUAAAAGGUGCAAUUGCAUCACUACCAGAUGGACCUGCGUUGUAUUAGCUAGUUGGUGGGGUAACGGCUCACCAAGGCGACGAUACAUAGCCGACCUGAGAGGGUGAUCGGCCACACUGGGACUGAGACACGGCCCAGACUCCUACGGGAGGCAGCAGUAGGGAAUCUUCGGCAAUGGACGGAAGUCUGACCGAGCAACGCCGCGUGAGUGAAGAAGGUUUUCGGAUCGUAAAGCUCUGUUGUAAGAGAAGAACGAGUGUGAGAGUGGAAAGUUCACACUGUGACGGUAUCUUACCAGAAAGGGACGGCUAACUACGUGCCAGCAGCCGCGGUAAUACGUAGGUCCCGAGCGUUGUCCGGAUUUAUUGGGCGUAAAGCGAGCGCAGGCGGUUAGAUAAGUCUGAAGUUAAAGGCUGUGGCUUAACCAUAGUACGCUUUGGAAACUGUUUAACUUGAGUGCAAGAGGGGAGAGUGGAAUUCCAUGUGUAGCGGUGAAAUGCGUAGAUAUAUGGAGGAACACCGGUGGCGAAAGCGGCUCUCUGGCUUGUAACUGACGCUGAGGCUCGAAAGCGUGGGGAGCAAACAGGAUUAGAUACCCCUGGUAGUCCACGCCGUAAACGAUGAGUGCUAGGUGUUAGACCCUUUCCGGGGUUUAGUGCCGCAGCUAACGCAUUAAGCACUCCGCCUGGGGAGUACGACCGCAAGGUUGAAACUCAAAGGAAUUGACG
rnacentral:rRNA from 1 species